rnacentral:rRNA from 1 species
CAGCAGCCGCGGUAAUACGAGGGGGGCAAGCGUUGUUCGGAAUUAUUGGGCGUAAAGGGCGCGUAGGCGGUUUGGCAAGUUUCGUGUGAAAUCUUCGGGCUCAACUCGAAGUCUGCACGGAAAACUGCCGGGCUUGAGUAUGGGAGAGGUGAGUGGAAUUUCCGGUGUAGCGGUGAAAUGCGUAGAUAUCGGAAGGAACACCUGUGGCGAAAGCGGCUCACUGGACCAUUACUGACGCUGAGGCGCGAAAGCUAGGGGAGCAAACAGGAUUAGAUACCCCAGUAGUCCCUGUCUCUUAUAC